UACAGAGGGUGCUAGCGUUGUUCGGAAUCAUUGGGCGUAAAGCGCACGUAGGCGGCCCCAUAAGUCGGAUGUGAAAUCCCUCGGCUCAACCGAGGAAGUGCAUCCGAAACUGCGGGGCUCGAGUAUGGAAGAGGGUCGCAGAAUUCCCGGUGUAGAGGUGAAAUUCGUAGAUAUCGGGAGGAAUACCAGUGGCGAAGGCGGCGACCUGGGCCAAUACUGACGCUGAGGUGCGAAAGCGUGGGGAGCAAACAGG
rnacentral:rRNA from 1 species